rnacentral:rRNA from 1 species
AUUGAACGCUGGCGGCAUGCCUUACACAUGCAAGUCGAACGGUAACGCGGGGCAACCUGGCGACGAGUGGCGAACGGGUGAGUAAUGCAUCGGAACGUGCCCAGUAGUGGGGGAUAGCCCGGCGAAAGCCGGAUUAAUACCGCAUACGACCUACGGGUGAAAGGGGGGAUCGCAAGACCUCUCGCUAUUGGAGCGGCCGAUGUCAGAUUAGGUAGUUGGUGGGGUAAAGGCCUACCAAGCCGACGAUCUGUAGCUGGUCUGAGAGGACGACCAGCCACACUGGGACUGAGACACGGCCCAGACUCCUACGGGAGGCAGCAGCGGGGAAUUUUGGACAAUGGGCGCAAGCCUGAUCCAGCCAUGCCGCGUGCGGGAAGAAGGCCUUCGGGUUGUAAACCGCUUUUGUCAGGGAAGAAAUCUUCUGAGUUAAUACCUCGGGAGGAUGACGGUACCUGAAGAAUAAGCACCGGCUAACUACGUGCCAGCCGCCGCAGUAACAC